AUUGAACGCUGGCGGCAUGCCUUACACAUGCAAGUCGAACGGCAGCACGGGUGCUUGCACCUGGUGGCGAGUGGCGAACGGGUGAGUAAUAUAUCGGAACGUACCUUAUUGUGGGGGAUAACGCAGCGAAAGCUGUGCUAAUACCGCAUAAUCCCUAAGGGGGAAAGCGGGGGACCGUAAGGCCUCGCGCAAUUAGAGCGGCCGAUACCUGAUUAGCUAGUUGGUGAGGUAAAGGCUCACCAAGGCAACGAUCAGUAGCUGGACUGAGAGGACGGUCAGCCAAACUGGGACUGAGACACGGCCCAGACUCCUACGGGAGGCAGCAGUGGGGAAUUUUGGACAAUGGGGGCAACCCUGAUCCAGCAAUGCCGCGUGAGUGAAGAAGGCCUUCGGGUUGUAAAGCUCUUUUGUCAGGGAAGAAACAGCAGCUCUAACACAGUUUGCGAAUGACGGUACCUGAGGAAUAAGCACCGGCUAACUACGUGCCAGCAGCCGCCGCGG
rnacentral:rRNA from 1 species